AUUGAACGCUGGCGGCAUGCCUUAUACAUGCGAGUCGAGCGACAGCACGGGUGCUUGCCCCUGCUGGCGAGUGGCGCGGGGGUGUGAAUUACACCGGGAUAAGUCCCCUAUAGGGGGAUGGCAAGGCGAAAGACGGGUUACUAACGCAUACGAACUAAGGAAAACACAGGGGGCAAUACUGACAGCGGGUUUUGCUGUCGCUCGUUGGCUGAUUAGCGAGUUGGUAGGGUAAAGGCCUACCAAGGCGACGACCAGUAGCCGGUCUGAGAGGAUGACCAGCCACACUGGAACUGAGACACGGUCCAGACUCCUACGGGAGGCAGCAGUGGGGAAUUUUGGACAAUGGGCGAAAGCCUGACGCAGCAAUGCCGCGUGUGUGAAGAAGGCCUUCGGGUUGUAAAGCACUUUUGUCCGGAAAGAAAAACUUUGCCCGAAAACAGUCGGGGGUUGACGGUACCGGAAGAAAAAGCACCGGCUAACUACGUG
rnacentral:rRNA from 1 species